rnacentral:rRNA from 1 species
CGAGUGGCGGACGGGUGAGUAAUGUCUGGGAAACUGCCUGAUGGAGGGGGAGUAACUACUGGAAACGGCUGCUAAUACCGCAUAAGCGCACAGUACCGCAUGGUACCGUGUGAAAAACUCCGGUGGUAUGAGAUGGACCCGCGUCUGAUUAGGUAGUUGGUGGGGUAACGGCCUACCAAGCCGACGAUCAGUAGCCGACCUGAGAGGGUGACCGGCCACAUUGGGACUGAGACACGGCCCAAACUCCUACGGGAGGCAGCAUG